rnacentral:rRNA from 1 species
CUACGGGUCGCAGCAGUGAGGAAUAUUGCACAGUGGGGGGAACCCUGAUGCAGCAACGCCGCGUGGAGGAUGACGCAUUUCGGUGUGUAAACUCCUUUUAUAUGUCAAGAAAAUGACGGUAGCAUAUGAAUAAGCGCCGGCUAACUCCGUGCCAGCAGCCGCGGUAAUACGGAGGGCGCAAGCGUUACUCGGAAUCACUGGGCGUAAAGGACGCGUAGGCGGGUUGAAAAGUCAGGUGUGAAAGCCUACAGCUUAACUGUAGAACUGCACUUGAAACUCUCAAUCUAGAGUAUGGGAGGGGCAGAUGGAAUUAGUGGUGUAGGGGUAAAAUCCGUAGAUAUCACUAGGAAUACCUAAAGCGAAGGCGAUCUGCUGGAACAUUACUGACGCUAAGGCGUGAAAGCGUGGGGAGCAAACAGGAUUAGAUACCCUCGUAGUC